AUGAGGAGAACAGAGGGAUGGUUUGAAAUAGGCAGACAGGGGUCCUUAAUAACGCAGCACGGCUACAAACAGGAGUCAUCGUUGUUCAAAACUGUUUGUGUGGGGAGAAAUUUUUUGGUUUUGGUUUUUGCUCCAAUCUUGUGUAGUUCAGAGCUAGGGGGAAAAAGAGGAAGAAAGGAAGAAAGGAAGGAAGGAAGGAAGAAAGGGGAAGGGAAGGGAAGGGAAGGGAAGGGAAGGGAAAAGGAAGGGAAGGGAAGGGAAAAGGAAGGGAAGGGAAGGGAAGGGAAAAGGAAGGGAAGGGAAGGGAAGGGAAGGGAAGGGAAGGGAAGAGGAAGGGAAGGGAAGGGAGGGGAAGAGGAAGGGAAGGAAAGGAAGGAAGGAAGGAAGAAGAAAACAAGAAAGAAAGGGAAGGGAGGGGAGGGUAGGGAGGGGAAAAGAAGGGAAGGAAGGAAGGAAGGAAGGAAGGAAGGAAGGAAGGAAGAAGAAAACAAGAAAGAAAGGGAAGGGAGGGGAGGGAAGGGAAGGGAAGGGAAGGGAAGGGAAGGGAAGGGAAGGGAAGGGAAGGGAAGGGAAGGGAAGGGAAGGGAAGGGAAGGGAAGGGAAGGGAAGGGAAGGGAAGGGAAGGGAAGGGAAGGGAAGGGAAGGGAAGGGAAGGGAAGGGAAGGGAAGGGAAGGGAAGGGAAGGGAAGGGAAGGGAAGGGAAGGGAAGGGAAGGGAAGGGAGGGGAAGAGAGGGAAGGGAAGGAGAAAGGAAGAGAGGGAAGGAAGGGAAGGAAGGAAGGAAGGAAGGAAGGAAGGAAGGAAGGAAGAAAAAGAAGGAAAGAGGAAGGAAGGAAGGAAAGAAAAGAAAAGAAAGAGAAGGAAGGAAGGAAGGAAGGAAGGAAGGAAGGAAGGAAGGAAGGAAAGAGAAGGGAAGGGGAAGGGAAGGGAGGGGAGGGAAGGGAAGGGGAAAGGAGGGAAAGGAAGGGAAGGAAGGAAGGAAAGAAAAAAGAAAGAAAGAGAAGGAAAGGAGGAAGGAAGGAAGGAAAGAAAAGAAAGAAGGAAGGAAGGAAGGAAGGAAAAAGAAAACAAGAAAGAAAGAAAGAGAAAGAAAGAAAAAAGCUAUUCUUCUCUAUUUCCUUUGUCACAAAUCUGGUUCAGGGAUCCCUGGGUGGCGCAGCGGUUUGGCGCCUGCCUUUGGCCCAGGGCGCGAUCCUGGAGACCCGGGAUCGAAUCCCACGUCGGGCUCCCGGUGCAUGGAGCCUGCUUCUCCCUCUGCCUGUGUCUCUGCCUCUCUCUCUCUCUGUGUGACUAUCAUAAAUAA
rnacentral:lncRNA from 1 species